rnacentral:rRNA from 1 species
AGAGUUUGAUCCUGGCUCAGAGUGAACGCUGGCGGCGUGCCUAACACAUGCAAGUCGAACGAUGAUAGGAAGCUUGCUUCCUUGAUUAGUGGCGCACGGGUGAGUAUACCAUAGAUAAUGUACCUCUUAGUUCGGGAUAGCCACUGGAAACGGUGAUUAAUACCGGAUACUCCUUCUUGUCUUAAGGCGAGUCGGGAAAGUUUUUUCGCUAAGAGAUCAGUCUAUGUCCUAUCAGCUAGUUGGUGAGGUAAUGGCUCACCAAGGCUAUGACGGGUAUCUGGUUUGAGAGGAUGAUCAGACACACUGGAACUGAGACACGGUCCAGACUCCUACGGGAGGCAGCAGUGAGGAAUAUUGCACAAUGGAGGAAACUCUGAUGCAGCAACGCCGCGUGGAGGAUGACGCAUUUCGGUGUGUAAACUCCUUUUAAGAGGGAAGAUAAUGACGGUACCUCUUGAAUAAGCACCGGCUAACUCCGUGCCAGCCGCCGCGGU